rnacentral:rRNA from 1 species
UACGUAGGGGGCAAGCGUUAUCCGGAAUUACUGGGUGUAAAGGGAGCGUAGACGGUAAUGUAAGUCUGGAGUGAAAGGCGGGGGCCCAACCCCCGGACUGCUCUGGAAACUAUGUUACUAGAGUGCAGGAGAGGUAAGCGGAAUUCCUAGUGUAGCGGUGAAAUGCGUAGAUAUUAGGAGGAACACCAGUGGCGAAGGCGGCCUGCUGGACGAUGACUGACGUUGAGGCUCGAAAGCGUGGGGAGCAAACAGG